GAUGGGCUCCUGGUCGGCCCAUA
rnacentral:snRNA from 1 species